rnacentral:rRNA from 1 species
UCGCUACUACCGAUUGAAUGGUUUAGUGAGAUCUCGGGACUGGCAUUUAUUGGUUGGCAACAACCGAUUUGAGCUGGGAACUUGCUCAAACUUGAUCAUUUAGAGGAAGUAA